UUGCUUUGGCAACACACACAGUAAAAUUGGAACUACACAGAAAAGAUUGGCACAGACCCUGUGCAAAAAUGACAUGAAAAUUUAUGAAGCGGUCCUUUUUUUU
ensembl:snRNA U6 U6 spliceosomal RNA